rnacentral:ncRNA from 1 species
UCACGUGGUGAUUUGAGCCGGCCGGCUUGCAGCCACGAUAAACAACUCGCUAAAAGGCCGCGUGUGA